rnacentral:rRNA from 1 species
CAGUCGCCGCGGUAAGACAGAGGAUGCAAGCGUUAUCCGGAAUGAUUGGGCGUAAGGCGUCUGUAGGUGGCUUUUCAAGUCCGCCGUCAAAUCCCAGGGCUCAACCCUGGACAGGCGGUGGAAACUGCCAAGCUGGAGUACGGUAGGGGCAGAGGGAAUCUCCGGUGGAGCGGUGAAAUGCGUUGAGAUCGGAAAGAACACCAACGGCGAAAGCACUCUGCUGGGCCGACACUGACACUGAGAGACGAAAGCUAGGGGAGCAAAUGGGAUUAGAUACCCGCGUAGUCCCUGUCUCUUAUAC